rnacentral:rRNA from 1 species
AUGAACGCUGGCGGCGUUCCUAAUACAUGCAAGUCGAGCGAACGGACGAGAAGCUUGCUUCUCUGAUGUUAGCGGCGGACGGGUGAGUAACACGUGGAUAACCUACCUAUAAGACUGGGAUAACUUCGGGAAACCGGAGCUAAUACCGGAUAAUAUUUUGAACCGCAUGGUUCAAAAGUGGAAGACGGUCUUGCUGUUACUUAUAGAUGGAUCCGCGCUGCAUUAGCUAGUUGGUAAGGUAACGGCUUACCAAGGCAACGAUGCAUAGCCGACCUGAGAGGGUGAUCGGCCACACUGGAACUGAGACACGGUCCAGACUCCUACGGGAGGCAGCAGUAGGGAAUCUUCCGCAAUGGGCGAAAGCCUGACGGAGCAACGCCGCGUGAGUGAUGAAGGUCUUCGGAUCGUAAAACUCUGUUAUUAGGGAAGAACAUAUGUGUAAGUAACUGUGCACAUCUUGACGGUACCUAAUCAGAAAGCCACGGCUAACUACGUG